UGAAUGAGCAAGAAGACAUUCCUGAAUACACAGCAUCUACCUCUGUCAGUAACACAGCUAUGCCACUCAUGGAAGCUGCCCAGCUAAAUCAUGCACAGAUUCGCAGAAUGUAUCAGAGCUUGAAUCAAACACAAGCUUCCAUAUUUUAUGCAGUUCGAGACUGGUGUAAAAGAUGUGUUUCUGGUAAAAACCCACAACAGUUUUUAUAUUUCUUGAAUGGAGGAGCCGGAGUUGGUAAAUCACACGUUAUUAAAACUAUUCAUGUAGAAGCAUCCAAAAUCCUGCGUAGGCUUCCAUGCAUGCGAGAGCACACUGACAUUUCACAGCCUACUGUUCUUUUAACCGGAUUCACAGGCACUGCAGCCUUUAAUAUAUCAGGUAAAACACUGCACUGUCUUCUGAAACUCCCAAGAAGCUUGAAGCCUCCAUAUGUGAACUGGAGACUGCAACAGAUAAAAGGAAACCAGAAACCUUUUGGUGGAUUAUCAGUAUUAUGUGUGGGGGAUUUUCACCAACUGCCACCUUUAGGAAGAGCAAAACCACUCUGUGUGUAUGAGAACCAUGUGCUGGACUUCUGGAAAGAUAAUUUUCAAAUGAUAACACUGACACAGAUAAUGAGGCAGAGAGAUGAUCUUGCUUAUGCUGAGCUGCUCAAUCGUCUGAGGGUGAAACAGAAGCACACAAAACUGACUGAUGCAGACAGGUGCAUGUUAGAAGCGGUCAUAAGAUCCUCCCCUGAUGAGUGUCCUAUUGAUGCAUUACACAUCUAUGCAACCAAUAAAGAGGUUGAAAACCACAACACUGAAGCUAUAUCUUUGCGCUUUUCAAAUAUUAUUAAUAUUGAUGCGGAUGACUACAAAAAAGAUCCACGAACAGGUGAGAUGAAAAGGCAAGCUGUUCCAUUAAAAGGAGACAAAUGUGAUCUAAUUGGCACACUACAGAUUGCUAUUGGUGCACGAGUGAUGCUUACCAGAAAUAUUGAUGUAGAAGAUGGACUGGUUAAUGGUACUUUUGGCAAAAAUAACAGCUCACACUCGAGGUGGUGUUCCUGUUGUUCAAUCAAUUGGUCUUCAUCUAGAUAAUGUGACUGCUGGACAGAAACAUCGCAACAAAGCACCUGAUGGAGAUGACAAUAUUGUCUAUAUUGAGAGGUCAGAGGAACCACUAAAAAAAAGGAACCGUUCGAAGGCAAUUUCCCAUGAAGUUUGCUUUUGCAUGCACAAUCCAUAAAGUCCAAGGAAUGACAACAGAUUGCAGUGUUGUAUCUCCGAAGCACAUAUUUGAAUCAGGCAUGGCAUAUGUUGCACUCAGCAGAACAACAACACUCAGUGGACUGCACAUUACUGACUUUGAUGAAAAGAAAAUUUUCUGUAAUCCAGAAAUAAAUGCCUCCUUGGACAACAUGCCAAAAUCUGACGUUCACAACGUCCAG
ensembl:lncRNA